rnacentral:rRNA from 1 species
GACGAACGCUGGCGGCGUGCCUAAUACAUGCAAGUAGAACGCUGAAGGAGGAGCUUGCUUCUCCGGAUGAGUUGCGAACGGGUGAGUAACGCGUAGGUGACCUGCCUGGUAGCGGGGGAUAACUAUUGGAAACGAUAGCUAAUACCGCAUAACAGUAGAUGUUGCAUGACAUUUGCUUAAAAGGUGCAAUUGCAUCACUACCAGAUGGACCUGCGUUGUAUUAGCUAGUCGGUGAGGUAACGGCUCACCAAGGCGACGAUACAUAGCCGACCUGAGAGGGUGAUCGGCCACACUGGGACUGAGACACGGCCCAGACUCCUACGGGAGGCAGCAGUAGGGAAUCUUCGGCAAUGGACGGAAGUCUGACCGAGCAACGCCGCGUGAGUGAAGAAGGUUUUCGGAUCGUAAAGCUCUGUUGUAAGAGAAGAACGAGUGUGAGAGUGGAAAGUUCACACUGUGACGGUAUCUUACCAGAAAGGGACGGCUAACUACGUG